rnacentral:misc_RNA from 1 species
ACACUGGCAGGUGUCCUUACCCAAGCACAAAAAAUUGAGCUCUACAUCAGCGGUCUUUCAUAGUACAUUGCAGUCAAGGUGGAACUACACAAUCCUACAGAUUUGGCAAUUGUAAUGAGCAUGUCUCGGCUUUAUGAGCGAAAAGGGAAUUUCGUCAGGUCUCCAAUGAAGGAGGCUAGGAGAGUUGAACCUCCUGAGCCAUCGUCAACUUUACGCCCCAUAUUUGUUAAAAAAUUAAAUAGGGUUCAGAUGGAAGAAAGACAACUUAAAG